CGACGAUGCAAGAGACCGUUCUAUCUGUUCUUGCCUUCUUCGAAUUCUCUGGCUCAACGGCCAGAUCAGUUUGGCUGAAUUGAUAGUACCCUUGAAGGUGUCCAAGGUGACUGUGGUUAAGAAUACGGUGGUAAGUUGGUGUCAUGGUGGGGAAUGCAGCUGCUGCGGCAAAUGGUCGUACAUCUGCUGAGACACAACGAGAACUGCACCUAAAGCUAGUUUAUUGCCAGAGACCUUUUGCAGGACGGGAUGAAACGGCGAAGCGCAGCGAGAAAAAAUGUUAUUCCAUGAAUAUCCUAAGACUGCACUCAACAUUGCAGUGCAGUGCGUCGAUGCGCUUUAAAAGAUGCGCUGUGUCAGUCACAUCUUCUUUACAUGGUUCGCGAUUAAACAUGAAGAAAGGAACGAAGAAGCAGAAAGCAAAUUUCUAUUUCAGCUUUGUAUUUAACUAUCCACGCGAAUCGGUAGAAACCUAAUGAGUUUCCAUGACACCAUAGACAGCCGUUAGUUUCUCCAUAAUUUGCAGAGCGCCGAAUCACGAAAGUUAACUAGAAUUAACAGGCGAUGAAUAGGUUGAAUCGAUUGGAUUCCAAUGAGAUUGCAACAGUGCAUUUACUCAUUUAUUAUUAGUUGAUCAGUCAUCGGUCGUUACUCGUGUAUCCAUUAAUUGCGUAAUGGCCCACUCCCUUGAUUGUCAAAUUAAUACCGUACCGAGUUGGAAUGUUUCAUUGAUGAACAGAUUCAUGAGUUACGAGAUAUUAUUCAGUUAGACAUUACAAUUACACUAAGUAGUUUCCCAUUUCGCAGUACACCUGCCAUUUACAAGAGUAGCAGCGUGCUAAAAUUCUCUAGGGCAAAGGGCCACAGCUAAACAAUACAGUAAGACCCCAGUUAACGCAGAAGAAACGUUUUUAGUAUUUACAGUGCUAAACGAAAGGGCAUCAAAAUAGAUACACGUGGUAAGCGGCGAAUUCGUUGAAUCGAGGAAUUAGUAUUUUACCGAACAUUUGCAAGUACGGCUAUGACAAAACAGCGUAGAACGAGGUAGUAUUAACCAGAGUCCUUAGUGUAUUAGGAAAUUUACAGUUACGGGUCAGCCUUACGAAUUUAAGAUACCUGGAAUGUUGAGUGCGUCUACAUAAUGGGUACUUGGGUAAACUGGCCGUUGAUAUGGUCAAGGCCCUUUCUUUUAAAGUAUCUGAAAACCUGAAACGAACUGCACCAUCGUGCUUGCUCUAGAGCUCAGUAUUUUUAAUUAGUUAAGUAUACGAAAGCGUGUUAUUAAAUAUUACCUCAUGAUGUAAAAAUACAAACACUCCUCAUUCAAAAGCGGCUACAGCCAUUGCAUUCUAUUUGUCAAGUUUCACGAGAACAUAGAGUGCCAAACCCUGUAGCAUCUAUCACUCAGCGACCAUUCUUUUAUUACUUCUAUAUUGUAGAAUUGACAUAAAUGAAAACCCUAUUACUACCAUAUAACAUUCGUAAUUGUAUUAUAUUGAUACAAUAAAUCUUAUCAAUUACUCCCACA